GGUCCGUUGGCCCAAUGGUAAGGCGUCUGACUACGAUUUAAUGUGUAAUCAGGAGAUUCUGGGUUCGACCCCCAGGCGGACCU